GACUUCUCCCGCUUAUGUUUUCUUGCUCCAGGAACUAGCCGCAUGGGCUCCAUGAGUCAGCCUUGCUGCUGGCACCCAGAGGCGCAGGGGGGCUCUCUUCCUAGCUGCGGGAGGGCUGGAAGCAGGAAAAUUAGCCUAGCUGGAAGCAGGGGCUGGCGGGCAACGGGCCAGGAAUGCGACGGGCCAGGGCCCCCGCGGAGUCAGGGACGCUCAGACGACAGAUGGCCCCACGAAGACCCAAACCGACCGUUUUCAACUCCAAUGCCGGCCUCAGUCUAGCAGUCUGUAGCCAGUGGGGGAAGCCACUCCUCCGCAGCCUAGUGGGGUCUCAGCCGCAAGCCCCGGGAUCCUGGAGCCUCCUUCCGGAACCGUUUCCUUAGGGGCCCUCGGGGCGGGCCCCUCGGGGCGGGGCAGGAAGGUCUGCAGUCGCGACUUUUCUUUUCUUUGCCCCCGCCUGGCUCAGGCGUCCCCAGGCCCGCACGCGGAGCCUCCGUCUGCCGCGGGGCGACCUGCCGGGUGCGGACAAUCAGAUCCUGAGCCUCACGCUCCACCGCGUGCGCUGCGCACCGGCUCGCGGCUCCUGCAAUCUGAGCACCGGCCGCCCGCAGGUGCUUCCUGGUGCUUUACCUGUCGGCCUCAAAGAACCCCUACAGCAACUCAGUGUAGUGAUGGGGAGACAGGCUCCUACCUUGCUCAGGUCACCUCCGAAACUGGCCAACUCCCCGGGGGCGCGUAAACCGGGCCUCCUCUCGGAGGAGAGGCCAGGCGGGGGCUGAGC
rnacentral:lncRNA from 1 species